CGUGAUCGAUGAAGCUUUUCGGAGUGUAAAGAUCUGUCGUGAGGGAAGAAUAACUUGGAUGCAAAUAGUUUUCAAGUCUGACGGUACCUUACAAGAAAGCACCGGCUAACUUCGUGCCAGCAGCCGCGGUAAUACGAGGGGUGCUAGCGUUGUCCGGAAUCAUUGGGCGUAAAGGGUCCGUAGGUGUCUUUGCAAGUCGUUUGUUACAUCCACCGGCUUAACCGGUGGCCUGCAAUCGAAACUGUAGGGAUAGAGUUCGAGAGAGGAAAGUGGAAUUCCUGGUGUAGCGGUGACAUGCGUAGAUAUCAGGAGGAACACCAAUGGCGAAGGCAGCUUUCUGGCUCGAUACUGACACUGAGGGACGAAAGCGUGGGGAGCAAACAGGAUUAGAUACCCUGGUAGUCCACGUCGUAAACGAUGAGUACUUGAUGUCGGAGGAUUCGACCCCUUCGGUAUCGUAGCUAACGCGUUAAGUACUCCGCCUGGGGACUACGGCCGCAAGGCUG
rnacentral:rRNA from 1 species